UACCAUAAAUGUGAAUCUGAGUAGAGGU
rnacentral:piRNA from 1 species